AUGAUUCAACCUCAAACCUAUUUAAAUGUAGCCGAUAAUAGUGGAGCGCGCGAAUUGAUGUGUAUUCGAAUCAUAGGAGCUAGUAAUCGAAGGUAUGCUUAUAUUGGUGACAUUGUUGUUGCUGUAAUCAAAAAAGCAGUGCCAAAUUCAUCUUUAAAAAGAUCUCAAGUCAUCAGAGCUGUAAUUGUACGUACUUGUAAAGAACUAAAACGUCGUAAUGUUUCAUUAGCACCUGAGGUAUUAUAA
rnacentral:lncRNA from 1 species